GUAUUUAUUGCUUCGGCAAUACAUAUACUAAAUUUGGAACAAUACAGAGAUUAGCACGGCUCCUACGCAAAGAUAACACGCAAAUUCGAGAAGCGUUCCAUAUUUUU
rnacentral:snRNA from 1 species